GAUGAAGAACGUAGCGAAAUGCGAUAAGUAGUGUGAAUUGCAGAAUUCAGCGAAUCAUCGAAUCUUUGAACGCACAUUGCGCCCUUCGGUUAUUCCUUAGGGCAUGCCUGUUCGAGCGUCAUUUCAACCUUCAAGCCUGGCUUGGUGUUGGGCGCUGUCCCGCCUCCGCGCGCGGACUCGCCCCAAAUGAAUUGGCAGUCGCACCCUCCGAGCCGCGAGCGCAGCACAAGUCGCGCGGGCGGAACUCUGGGGGGACGGACGAUCCACAAGACCCUUUCUCAGUCUUGACCUCGGAUCAGGUAGGGAUACCCGCUGAACUUAAGCAUAUCAAUAAGCGGAGGA
rnacentral:misc_RNA from 1 species